GGCAGUUCUUGGGUGAUGCACUCCAGAAUCAGGCUCCCUCCUCUCUGGUUCAGGGUGUAUCACCGACAACUGCC
rfam:Myotis davidii contig4743, whole genome shotgun sequence.